rnacentral:rRNA from 1 species
CAGCGCCACGGUAAUACAGAGGGUGCGAGCGUUAAUCGGAUUUACUGGGCGUAAAGCGUGCGUAGGCGGCUUCUUAAGUCGGAUGUGAAAUCCCUGAGCUUAACUUAGGAAUUGCAUUCGAUACUGGGAAGCUAGAGUAUGGGAGAGGAUGGUAGAAUUCCAGGUGUAGCGGUGAAAUGCGUAGAGAUCUGGAGGAAUACCGAUGGCGAAGGCAGCCAUCUGGCCUAAUACUGACGCUGAGGUACGAAAGCAUGGGGAGCAAACAGGAUUAGAUACCCCCGUAGUCCCUGUCUCUUAUACC